UUGGGUUAAGUCCCGCAACGAGCGCAACCCUUGUCUUUAGUUGCCAUCAUUCAUUGGGCACUCUAAAGAGACUGCCGGUGGUCAAACCGGGAGGAAGGUGGGGAUGACGUCAAGUCCUCAUGGCCUUUAUGACCAGGGCUACACACGUACUACAAUGGCCGGUACAAAGGGCAGCCACUUAGCGAUAAGGAGCCAAUCCCGUAAAGCCGGUCUCAGUCCGGAUUGGAGUCUGCAACUCGACUCCAUGAAGUUGGAAUCGCUAGUAAUCGCAGAUCAGCACGCUGCGGUGAAUACGUUCCCGGGCCUU
rnacentral:rRNA from 1 species